AGCCAUCUGACGUCGUCGUCUCUGUUAAGCAUGCCGUGGCCUGGUUCCUUUUGCUCUUGAACUGAUUUCCUUAUCUUCUGUUUCCUGCUUCCCUCCCUGAGAAUGUAUUUUGAAAGAUUACUGUCAGGGAGCAUGACCUAGGAUAGUGCUUAGUUUAUGUUACUAGUCUACAGACAUAAUUCAAUCCAGUAGAAUAUACAAGCGGUUAUCCAGAAUUUUUGUAAAUUCUGGAAAACAACCCACUAAAAAAAACCAACCACCCAGUAACCAGAGUAGUUAAUGCAGAAACUAGUGAGAAAGAUCCUAUCCACAGUGCAGUUUGAGUGUGGACAUGAGCAGCAUGAGCAUCUCUGUGUCUCCCAUCCGUGUUGCAAAGAUGGAGGGGCGAUACUUUUCCUAGCACAAUACUCAUAUAACUCAUAUAACUCCUAUAACUCAUAUAAAAUGUGCAACUUACUGACACAACUGCAUUAACCAUGAAAUGGCCAGGGUGCAGCAAGGACCUAACAGACAAGGCCAGACUCAUCUGAUGUUUGGAAUCAUCUUUAUCUGAAAUGAGCUUUAUCCUUCAGAUCAUCCAAACAGUGUUUAAAAAAAAAUAACAUAUAGGCCAGUUUGUUAAACUCUAAAAUUAUAGUUGAUCCAUGAAGUUUAUUGUAUGGCCACAAUAGAGUCUUUGUUUUCAAGAUGUAGCCAUGUUAUAAAGAAGAUGGAGUUAUUGUCAGACCAUAGGAAUGCAACUAUGCUCUGUUUUACAGAAAAUGUCAUAAAUAAUAUACUCAGAAAUAACCCUCACAGAUUCAGAACACGUUAAAUUACAUAAAGUAGUUGUGUGAAGUCAUUCUACAGUGAGUUAAGGCUUUCAUAAAUCCAUUAAAGAAAAAAAGAUACAGAGCAAGAAAAAAAAUCUAUGCUUUUGAUUAUGAUUUGAAAAGAAAGAAUGAAUUGAUGAGGCAAAGAGAAAAAAGUAAUCAGUUUCAGACACCAUGUUACAGAUGAGAAGAUGUUUACAAUAAGAGUAGUGAGUGUAAAUAAACAGCAAGAAGCUGGGCUCUAGACUGCAAAAGGAGAAACAGAAAAGGGAACAGAUGUGUUGAGCUAGAGACAGUCCAUGGGUUUGGAAGGCAAGAAAAAAAAAGGUUUCCAUCUGGAUCAUGUACUGCAUAGAACGUUGAGUGGAAUGAAAUGGUAGGAACCAAUGUUGUUGUGAAGAAAAGAUAGGUAUGAAGACUUCUAAAGGACUAUUGCAGAAGAGAUGGCCUUUAAAGGUAUCUUUUUGGGUUGAUAAUACAUAAAUUUAUGCACUUAUCAUUCUCUCGUGCUGACCUAUUGCAUAUCAACAACAACAUUCGCACUCCAUAUAGCUCCCAUAGUACUGUUCUCUCUUCACAUUUCAGGCUGUAUCCAGAGCUUGCAGAGGAGCGCUGCUCCCCUGAUUGAGCUACUGAUUGAGCACCUGAAAAGGUGAGAUCUCAAAAUAUCUCCCAGAAAAAGAUUCGAGUUAAAAGGUUGGGUGAGAGGUAAGAGCUGGCAGUAGAUUGCAGAUUCAGGCUUGCUCACUCCAAAGGAAUGUUAGCUCUCUCUAGUAAGUUGCACUGCUCUUGCACACCACGUCAUGCCAUGAUACAUUGCCUUCCAGCAAGGCAGAGAUGCAUUGUGUUUCUAGAUAAGGAAUAUGUUUACAAAGUUCAAUUUCUACAGGGCAGAAGAGGAAUUAACUUUAUCUGAAAACGCUCUGUUUGUACCUAGCUUUGUAUUUAUGAACCGCCAGCACAGAAGGCUAUGAUUCCUUUUAAGAAGAUUGACUUGAUCUUCGUUUAAAAAAAUGCAAACAGAAAACUCCUGCUAGCGUAGCCACAUGGAGUGGAACAGAUAAUUUAUUUCUGUCAGAACGCGUUAUUUGUGGAUGUCAGUACUGUGUUCUGAAUAGGAUGUUGAAAUACACUGUGGGUAUGUUACUUAUGUACGUUUUCAGAAAGAUACAGCUGGUAAGAAUAAAUGAGCUGUAAUAAUAGGUAGUUAAAAUGUUAAUGGAAUAAUGCAGGUCAAGCAGAAACAGUCAGUCAGUUACCAAUAAAAAAAGGAGACAUAUAAGAGGUCAUCUUCUUUCUGGAAGACAAAAACUCUCAAUUCAUUAGAGAAUGAGUAUCUACAUGAGCACAACUCCCAGUCUGAUUCCAGCCUGAGCUUAUAGUUUGAACCCAGUUUGGUCUUUUUCCUAAACAUUUCUUGUUUGGGGCAUUUAAUUUUGAACAAGAAUUAUUUAAAUUUUAAAUUCAGAAAAUGUUUAUUACUGAAUAUCUGAGUAUUUUUCCUAAACUGAAGUGAACCUGUAAAAAAGAAAAGGGUCAUUAAAAAACAAAAUAAUUAGAAUAUUUUUCAGUCAGUUGUGAUCUUACAAAAAGAGUAAAAGAAAAAAGAGAAAGUCAACAUGCACAUCUUGUUCCUGAGAACUGAUCCUAUAUUCAUGGCAAUGAGGAAGGUAGAAAACUGUCUUAUUUUUGUAAACUUUUCAAAACCUCUAUAAGGAAAAAAAAUGCAGAACAGAAGAUUUUGGUAGUUCGUGUUAAAGCCAGCAGUCUCUGGAUAGCAUAUGAACUAAGAACAGUUCUCCCAGCAACUAUCACAUUGCUGGAUGGUAAAAGCACUCCUUUGGCCAUGUUCCCAUUAGUAAAUAUUCAUGCUCUUACAAGUUCCUAUCUUUGAAAGACGUGGUUAGCUAAGCAGUCAGUCUUUUAAAUUGAUUUUCUUAGGAGAAAAGGUCUGUACAACUAGAUUGGCAGAUACUCAGCUUGAUAGUUGUAGCCUCAAUUGUUCUCACUUUGUUAAGCUAGAUACUAAUAAAUAAAUCCAUAAAGGUAUCUUGCAUGUUUUGAGCCUUUCAAUGUAACUGGCUAGCAUGAUGGUUCAGGGAUUAUCAUAUUUAUGGGAAGAUACUUCAACAGCAUUGUCCAUCUUUGAAAGGCUAAAUAUAUUUUUAAAAUCUGACAUUGUCUUAGGAGAAAAAAUUUUCCUUUGAUACUUCCAAACAGAAUUCUUAUCUUUUCAAAAUGUUUUCAAAUUAAAUACAAGUAGCCUUAAACUAGAGUUUUUAUUUUUUUUUACAAAUAUCUUCUAAACCUCUUACACUCUUUUUGUUGACCUUGGAGCUAAUUACUUCAGGAAAAAAAAUAAAAAUCACUUGAACAGAGAGAGCAUUAGUUCAGAUUGAUCUAAGAUUAUGAGGCCCUUUCGAUCAUCAAAGUUCUGAUCCAUGAGGACAUGGAAAGUCUUCGUAUUGAAAUCGUGCAUGAGUUUUGGGUUAGGCAGUAGCCAGUUAGCAUUUACAUGUGUAAACCACUUGAAAGAAUUAUGUUGGAUGGAGGCCAGAGUGAGGAUUUGGAAAACAAAGAAUAUCAAGGGUAGGGUAGAGUUCAGAAACUGAAUGCUGCCUAGUGGAGAACAUACUGUGGGAGCUGAACAAGAAAAGAGCCCCUUCACAGGCACAGAAAUUAACUGUUUGCUGCUUAUAUGCUGUGCUUGAAACAGUAAAAACAAACAUUAGGAAGAGAGAAAUCAGCUCUGUAAAUAAGCAGUAGUGAAGUCUCACUGAGGCUGCUUGUGUGCAGCAGAAGGAAAGCAAAGCUAAGCUUGAAUUUUGACAACUAUUUGAAAGUUUCCAUUGAAUGGUUGAGUUUUCUUGCUGAGCAGUUCACACUAUUUUACUUACAGAUGAAUUUAGAUCCAAAGCAAAUCUGGAGGCACAAGAAAUAAACCCAAACUAUUGCAAUUCUGGCUAGCACAGUUGAUUACCAAGUCUUGAUUUGAAGAGUGGAGAAAGUUGUGUGAAAAAAAAACGUCCAGAUAUGAAAAGGUGUACAUAGUAACUAUGUGCUGCAGUAGAUUACUUCCCCUCAUGAGCCAUAGCAUGCAGAGCUCUGUAAAGAUACACUAAGACUUCCAAGAAACCUCUCAGGAAAAGGAUAUAAAAUACUGGAGUGUUUAAAAGCCAUGAUUUUUUGCUUCUCUUCUUUUCUGUCUUUCUGAGGUGAGCCUCGGCAGCACUGGCCGGAGUAAUUCAACUGAUCCCCAUCUCUGCAUGGUGAAUUACCAUGCUUGGCACAUGCAGGCUUGUCUGGAUUGCUGCUGCUCAGCCAGGUAGCACAGAAUGAAUUUGCAGACCAGUCUUCUGACACGCGUGAAGCAGCGCCAGUUAUUCAAGUCCUACAUGGACGAGGAGGAAGCGGGUGUGCAAAACUGAAGUGGAAUCAUUGAAAGAUGCUGCCAUUAAAAUCUCUCAAACACAAACUCAGCUUUCUGGAGACGAGCAGCUCUACCCCCAGAACAGCCAGUAAGCCAGAGGCUACCAUGGUUGCCUGAAUUAACAUUGAAUGAAAACCUCUUGUAUCCCAGCUUUGACAGGCCCUCUCUUGGGGAGGUUGCUCCUAAGAUGCAUUAAUUCUGGCACUUAAGCUCCCAUGUUCAACGAAAUAGAAGCAUGAACUGACCUUUCCAGAAGGAAAAGAAAGCCUGAUAACCACAUCUGAAGAAAGCGGACUUUCUGAGACCUGAAAGAAGUCCCAGGACUUGGCCACUAUUUAGUGACAAGGAAAUACACAGAAGUGCCCUUCGUGUCUCCUCUGUGACUCAGUGUGAAGCAAGACCUGGGCUGUGGGCCCUCUUUCUGCCAUUCCUCCAUGUAACAAAAUUGUUCCUUCCCAAAUAAGUACAUCAGAGCAGGAAGUCCUGGCCGGGGCACAGGUGCCAAAGAAGCAUUUUAAAAGAAACAAGUGGUUGUAACAGAGUUGGAUACACCACAGCAUCCAGGCUUGGUGGAUUUUCAAUAGUUUUCCAAAAAAUGCAGUAGUGUAAAGUGUAUCUUAAUGGCAAUAGGCAUAUUAUCCAAGCGUGCUUGAGCAAUUUGGCUAAAAGUAUAUGAAAUUCUGAAAUAACCAAGGUCUUCCAUGCAGUUUUGGCAGGGAGUGUCUACCUCAGAAAUUGGACAGAUCAAGGAAAAUAAUUUUUCAACAAGUCUUUAAUCAUGGUGGCGAAGCAGUAUUGUGUUUAACACUGUUUAUUCAUAGUGUGAUUUCCUGUAUCCAGCUGGCUGAUGCACCCAUCUGACUACUCCAGAUGAUGGGAUCCAUCACUUCUUGUUCUAUGUACAAAACAUUUCCUAACGAUCUUGAUGUAGUAAAGACUGUCCUAUGUGACUGCAUCCAUUCACAGCAUCAGUAGACAAAGGUAAAGCAACUGAUGUCAUCUACCUGAACUUCUGCAAGGCCACUGCUAUGAUCCCACAUCACAUUCUUAUCUCCAAAUUGGAAAUACAUGGAUUUAAGAGUGGACUUUUCAGUGGAAAAGGAAUUGGUUGGAUGAUCACAGCCAGAGCGUUGUGGUCAAUGGCUCUAUGUCCAGGUGAAGGCCGGUGAUGAGUGGUGUCCCUCCAGCGAUCUGUCGGGACAAGUGCUCUCUAACAUCUUUAUCAAUAAACUGGGUAGUGGGAUGAAGUGCACCAGGCUGAGCGCUGCAGUUGAUAGAAUAGAAGAAAGAUGUGAAGCUGAUGGAGCGGGUCCAGAGAAGGGCAACAAAGAUGAUCAAAGGGCUGGAGCACCUCUUUUACAAAGACAGGCUGAGGGA